rnacentral:rRNA from 1 species
UGGGGAAUAUUGCGCAAUGGGCGAAAGCCUGACGCAGCAACGCCGCGUGAGUGAUGAAGGCCUUCGGGUCGUAAAGCUCUGUCGGAGGGAACGAAUGCUCCUGAAGUUAACAGCCUCAGGAGGUGACGGUACCCUCAAAGGAAGCACCGGCUAACUCUGUGCCAGCAGCCGCGGUAAUACGAAGGGGGCUAGCGUUGUUCGGAUUUACUGGGCGUAAAGCGCGUGUAGGCGGGUCGUUAAGUUGGGGGUGAAAUCCCGAGGCUCAACCUCGGAACUGCCUUCAAAACUGGCGACCUGGACCCAAGUAGAGGCAAGUGGAAUUGCGAGUGUAGAGGUGAAAUUCGUAGAUAUUCGCAGGAACACCAGUGGCGAAGGCGACUUGCUGGACUUGUGGUGACGCUGAGACGCGAAAGCGUGGGGAGCAAACAGGAUUAGAUACCCGCGUAGUCCCUGAGCGGGCUGGCAAGGCGCAU